AAUCAACGCUGGCGGCGUGCCUAACACAUGCAAGUCGAACGCGAAAGUGGAGCAAUCCAUGAGUAGAGUGGCAAACGGGUGAGUAACGCGUGGGCGACCUACCUCAGAGUGGGGGAUAACCUUCCGAAAGGAGGGCUAAUACCGCAUGACAUACCGUGUUUGGAUACACGGAUAUCAAAGCCGGGGAUCGCAAGACCUGGCGCUUGGAGAGGGGCCCGCGUCCGAUUAGCUAGUUGGUGGGGUAACGGCCUACCAAGGCUCCGAUCGGUAUCCGGCCUGAGAGGGCGGACGGACACACUGGGACUGAGACACGGCCCAGACUCCUACGGGAGGCAGCAGUGGGGAAUUGUUCGCAAUGGGCGCAAGCCUGACGACGCAACGCCGCGUGGAGGAUGAAGGAUUUCGGUCCGUAAACUCCUUUCGACCGAGAUGAACACCUCUUUACCUAACACGUUUAGAGGUUGACAGUAUCGAGGGAAGCAGCCCCGGCUAACUCCGUGCCAGCAGCCGCGGUAAUACGGGGGGGGCAAGCGUUGUUCGGAAUUACUGGGCGUACAGGGUCUAGUA
rnacentral:rRNA from 1 species